rnacentral:rRNA from 1 species
UACAGAGGGGGCAAGCGUUGUUCGGAAUUACUGGGCGUAAAGGGCGCGUAGGCGGCCUGUUAAGUCGAACGUGAAAUCCCCGGGCUCAACCCGGGAACUGCGUCCGAUACUGGCAGGCUUGAAUCCGGGAGAGGGAUGCGGAAUUCCAGGUGUAGCGGUGAAAUGCGUAGAUAUCUGGAGGAACACCGGUGGCGGAGGCGGCAUCCUGGACCGGCAUUGACGCUGAGGCGCGAAAGCCAGGGGAGCAAACGGGG